ensembl:lncRNA LINC02436 long intergenic non-protein coding RNA 2436
AUAGUAAGCAUUGGACACAAAAUGGUUUAGGCAAAUAAUGAUGAACAAAAAUGGUCAGUCUGUGUUCCUGCUGACCCAGCACAGUGGGGACGCUGUGUAGGACAUGACCUUUGGGGGAAAGGACACAAGAACUCAGCGUGGGGGAUCCAGAAAAGAAGUCGCACGUAUUGAAGCCAGUAACGCCAAGCCAGUGAAUUCUCCUUGACGAGAAAGACCCACUUACUCUGCAGAAGAGAUAUAUGACAGCUGACAAUCCCUGGAGGAGAAUCUUUCUACUAAAUUGUUGAAAACAUUCAAGUACGGAAUAAACUAUUACUGCGAAUACGCUCAUAUGACACAAGAACAAUCUCUGAGCUUCUUUGAGGAUGUCCAGAUGACUGCUGACUGCACUAAUUGCAUCAAUCGUGUAUCCAUACAGGUUCUUUCUAUAAAAUAGUGGUCGCUAGUUAUGAGGCGUUAAGCCUUCAUGGAUAUAAACAGACUAUUCCACCUAAGUGAUCUGGCAGAAGCUUAGUUUUCUACCACAACAUCCACCGUCCUCCCUCCCUCCCUUCCUAGCUGGUCAGAAAAGCUACUCAGAAUAAAGACUACAUUUCCCAGCCAUCUUUGCAGCUAGGUUUAUCCACCUGACUAAAUUCCACCGGCCUGCCACAAGAAUACGAAGGCCAGAGCUCCAGCAGCUGUUGGAGCCACGAUGUGACCCUGAAGGCAGGAAACUCAGCUUUGGAAGUAACUCCAGGUUGAAGAACUUCUACUUAUAGGCAUCUAUUCAACGAAGACGAAUCCUGGAAUGGGGAUGGAAAUGAUGGCUCAUGUCUUAGCAAACUACCAGUACGUCUACUAGAACCGGAACUGAUCCGAGAGGACAGGGAAGUCAGUGUGGGCGGCUCUAAGGAGCCUCCCUCUCUACAGCUGCGGCUCAGAGGAUUACGGCGCUUCAUCCACAAGGCAACAUUGCACAAGUAGCUUUUGAACAAAAGUCAUGGAUACUAUUAAUGAUAUGUUCCCACACACAUUUAGUGUCGUCUCAAAAUUCACGCUGUCAACUGUCUCUAGGAAUCAUUUCCAUCUGAGAACAGACCACACAAAGCCAAGGUCCUGGAUGACUGACAACCUGAGAUUGCAGACCUCCGAGAAAUUGAAGUAGGCUCUAUAAAGUCUGGGCAGCCCCGUCUUCCAAAGGCUGCUUCUCAAGUCCACACACACACUUUGGAAGGAGAAUCCUGCUCUUGGACGUGGUAUUCUUGGUGGGACAGCUACCUAUAAAAUGAAUGAGGCAAAAAAGGAAUAAUAAUGAGAUUGGGUAUGUAAAAUAUCGAUAAGUAGAGGCAUUUGUUAAUGUUAACAAUGAAAUUACAAUCUGUCAUUUUAUGUGUUGAGUAAAUAAUAUAAAGAAUUCAAA